GUGGGGAAUAUUGCACAAUGGAGGCAACUCUGAUGCAGCGACGCCGCGUGAGUGAAGAAGUAUUUCGGUAUGUAAAGCUCUAUCAGUAGGGAAGAUAAUGACGGUACCUACAGAAGAAGCCCCGGCUAAAUACGUGCCAGCAGCCGCGGUAAUACGUAUGGGGCAAGCGUUAUCCGGAUUUACUGGGUGUAAAGGGAGUGUAGGCGGCAGUACAAGUCAGGAGUGAAAACUUGGGGCUCAACCCCAAGACUGCUUUUGAAACUGUACAGCUAGAGUGUAGGAAGGGCAAGCGGAAUUCCUGGUGUAGCGGUGAAAUGCGUAGAUAUCAGGAAGAACACCGGUGGCGAAGGCGGCUUGCUGGACUAUAACUGACGCUGAGACUCGAAAGCGUGGGGAGCGAACAGGA
rnacentral:rRNA from 1 species